rnacentral:rRNA from 1 species
UGGGGAAUUUUGGACAAUGGGCGAAAGCCUGAUCCAGCAAUGCCGCGUGUGUGAAGAAGGCCUUCGGGUUGUAAAGCACUUUUGUCCGGAAAGAAAUCCUUGGCUCUAAUACAGUCGGGGGAUGACGGUACCGGAAGAAUAAGCACCGGCUAACUACGUGCCAGCAGCCGCGGUAAUACGUAGGGUGCAAGCGUUAAUCGGAAUUACUGGGCGUAAAGCGUGCGCAGGCGGUUUGCUAAGACCGAUGUGAAAUCCCCGGGCUCAACCUGGGAACUGCAUUGGUGACUGGCAGGCUAGAGUAUGGCAGAGGGGGGUAGAAUUCCACGUGUAGCAGUGAAAUGCGUAGAGAUGUGGAGGAAUACCGAUGGCGAAGGCAGCCCCCUGGGCCAAUACUGACGCUCAUGCACGAAAAGCGUGGGGAGCAAACAGGAUUAGAUACCCUGGUAGUCCACGCCCUAAACGAUGUCAACUAGUUGUUGGGGAUUCAUUUCCUUAGUAACGUAGCUAACGCGUGAAGUUGACCGCCUGGGGAGUACGGUCGCAAGAUUAAAACUCAAAUGAAUUGACGGGGUCAU